UGCUUAUGUCUCAACUUUCGAG
rnacentral:misc_RNA from 1 species